GGGAAGGUAGCUCAGUGGUAGAGCGCUUGCCUUGCAUGCAUGAGGC
rfam:Dipodomys ordii contig_49166, whole genome shotgun sequence.